rnacentral:rRNA from 1 species
CGCGUGCAGGACGAAGGCCUUCGGGUUGUAAACUGCUUUUGUACGGAACGAAAAGUCUGGGCUAAUACCCCGGGGUCAUGACGGUACCGUAAGAAUAAGCACCGGCUAACUACGUGCCAGCAGCCGCGGUAAUACGUAGGGUGCAAGCGUUAAUCGGAAUUACUGGGCGUAAGCGUGCGCAGGCGGUUUUGUAAGACAGAGGUGAAAUCCCCGGGCUCAACCUGGGAACUGCCUUUGUGACUGCAAGGCUGGAGUGCGGCCGAGGGGGAUGGCAUUCCGCGUGUAGCAGUGAAAUGCGUAGAUAUGCGGAGGAACACCGAUGGCGAAGGCAAUCCCCUGGGACUGCACUGACGCUCAUGCACGAAAGCGUGGGGAGCAAACAGGAUUAGAUACCCUGGAUAGUACACGCCCUAAACGAUGUCAACUGGUUGUAGGGUCUUCACUGACUCAGUAACGAAGCUAACGCGUGAAGUUGACCGGCUGGGGAGUACGGACGCCAGGUUGAACCUCUCAGGCAUUGACGGGGACCCGGUACAAGCG